rnacentral:rRNA from 1 species
UGGAUUAGGCAUGCAAGUCGAACGAGAACCGCUGGGCAACUGGCGGGGAUAGUGGCGAAAGGGGCAGUAAUGCGUGGGUAACCUACCCUGGGGACCGGGACAUACGCGUAAUAGCGGUAAAUACCGGGCAAUGCGGCCGAGGGGCAUCUCUUGGCCGCCAGAUGAGUUUCGCCCUGGGAGGGGCUCACGUCGUAUUAGCUAGUUGGUAGGGUCACGGCCUACCAAGGCAAAGAUGCGUAGCGGGUGUGUGAGACACGACCCGCGCCACUGGCACUGAGACACUGGCCAGACACCUACGGGUGGCUGCAGUCGAGGAUCUUUGGCACUUAGCGCAAGCUUGACCAAGCGACGCCGCGUGUGCGACGGACCUUCGGGUUGUAAAGCAC